UGCGGUCCGACGGGUGGCGCAGCAGGCGGUAGAAGUCCGUCUUGCGGUAGAGGAAGCCGAAGAGCACACGCAGAAAGUCCUGAACGUUGCCCACGUGCUGCAGGAUGCCCAACAGGGCCUGAUCGUACAGCUCCGCCGCCCCGGGCUCCAUGGCGUCGCCGGCCGGAGGGAAGCUCACUCACUGCGGGCGCGGCCCGGACACCGGCCUGAGGCCACUUCCGGUGCGCUGCAGUAACGGCUCCGGCAGCCAGCGCGCCCGUGAAACUUCCGGUCCGCGCUCGUUCGCCCCCGCGGUAGGGCUUGGCUGGGCUGCGUUUGAGCCGACUUGACGCGGGCCCCGCCCCCACCACCCCCUGGCUUCCCGAGCGGUCUGGCUGAGGAGGGGACGUGGGCCCAGAAAUGCAAGAAGGCCCGGAGCUGCGGGACUGAGGGCGCCUAGUGGCCAUGCUGGCAACGGACGGAAGAGGUGUAGCGCGGGCAAGUGUUACGUGCGUCUCGCUGUUGUCACGUGGUCUAUGGGUUGUGUUCCCGACUGGGUGACCUGAGCCCCAGGCGGGACAGCGGGGGCCUUUUGCUGGCGCGUCAGAAGAGGAAAUGCGAGCGCUUACUGGUGGUGUCUGUCCUGUUAAUAACGGAGCCGUGGGUGAAAUGCAAGGUGAAGUGCAUAAAUACAAGAAGACAAGAAUGUAAACUGAGAGGACCCAGAAGCAACAAUGUCCCAGCAGCAACGCACACACUGAACACCCAGAUCCUGGUUUCUAAUCCCAUCUCCAACAGAAGAGCUAGAACUCCUGGGAGAAACGGCUGACUCUAGGACUGGAGCAGAAAUAUACAAGUUGAGCCUGGAUCAUCUUAUAAUGCCAGAAAAACUGAAGUUUUAAAACUUUCAUGAGGAGGACACAUGUCAAAUUCAAGAGAUGGAUCAGGACCAGAUCACACCCACGCCAUCGCGUGCCACCUCCAUCACAUCGUGUGUCCCUGUGGGUGAGAUCUCAUGGCCAGAGGGUGACCUGUCGUGGGCACUCCUGUGGGGACAGCCGCUCCCAGGCCCUGAGGGGGAGGAUGGGUCAAGGGACCCCCACAGAGGAGCCCUUGUGGCCCCUCAGGUCAGGGCCGGUGAGCUGGGACAGGGGCUCCGGCUCCAUCAGAACUUCUGCCUAUUGUGAGGUCAAGAGCUACCCAGGCCACCCUCGCUCUUGGCAGGAUGUUCAAAGCCGUAGUUGACAUAGACACUGUUGGCCGUGCUCGACGGGGCAGGGUGCUUUGAGCAGGAGGCCGCCUUGGCCGCAGCCACCGCCUCCUCCUGCUGCUGCUGCUGCACCAGAGCUGGGUUGACAUCAGGCCCUGCAGAGGGACAGAUACAGAGGACCACGGUCAGGAAAGCGGCGUGCUGGAUGCGGGGCGCAGGCGUUUGCUGUGGCCUAAAAAGGAAGUUCCGGAGAUCGAGAGCUAAGCCCUAAGCCCUCCACCUCCACCGCUGCCCCUCACCCCAGCCCUCGCUCCACCCUACGCCUAAAAGCCAGUAGCCGUUUCAGCCGCCAUCCAUGCCCAGCCCCUGGCCCACCUGCCUUCCAGUGCAGACCCCUGCCAUCCGGGGAUCUGGCAGGGGAAGCCCCCGGACGCCCAUGGCCUGUGACUGCCACCCCCUCCUCUCUUCCUGGACACCCUGUGCAAGCGCUCCUUGCCGAGAGAAGCCAUUCCUCACUGUGUUGUCAGACUCAGGUCAGGGAGGGGCCCAGGGGCCUCUGCGCCUGCCACUCACCUCUCUGUCAAGAUCCCAGGCCACUCUGAGGGGGCAGGACCUGCGAGCUCCUUCCUCACUCCCAGCCACUCGGAAUCCCCAAGGGGUGGCCACGACCUGUGGAACCUGUAGCUCCCCAACUGGGUGGCCCCUGGGGCUGUCCUCCUCGCCACCCACCAUCCCCAAUACACUCUCCUCUUCCAAAGGGGGUCAGGAAGUUUCUACAAGAUGCUGGUGCCUUGGGUAGGGGCGCUGGAGCUGUGUGGCCUCCAGAUACAAUGCAUGUGACCAGCUCUGUGACUGGGGUGGGAGUCUCAGUUUCCUCAUCGGUGAAAUGGGGAUGAAAACAUCACCUACCUCCAGAGGUGAUAAGACGAUUAGUGCACAUAUAUUAGAGCACAAACACACCCUUCUGUAAAUGUUUUCUCUAAAAUUACCAUUAUUAGUAUUCCGGAUGUCAGGGAAUGGUGCAGCAUUGAACUGCUUUCAGCUUGCCCACCGUAAGAGGGGGGAUGCUUCGCCCUGCGGGCCCAGUUUAAAUCUCUGUGGGGGUGGGGCGGUGGAAUUCCCUGGUGGUCCAGUGGUCAGGACUCCGUGCUUCCACUGCCGAGAGCACGGGUUCAAUCCCUGGUCGGGAACGAAGGUCCCACAAGCCGCCCAGUGCAACCAAAAAAAAAAAAAAAAUCUCUUUUGGGGGACGGGGUGUGUAUAUGACUGUACUCAACAAUGAGGAAACAGAAAUGUACGUGUUGCUGGUAGGAGUUUAAAUGGUAAAACUUGCUGGAGGGCGUUAACCAUUGGCAUGCAUAAUCAACAUUCACAGACCGGACUUUCUCCAGGAAAUAUUGGAGGAUGAGGUCAAAGGUUCAGCCACAAGGAUGGUCAUCGCAGCACUGGCAAUAGCAUGGAAAGUCAGAAAUAGUCUCAUGUCCAGCAGCUGGGAGCUGGUUGGAUGGAUUGUGGCUGAUCCACAGGAGAGGAUAUGUUUUUCGACUGCAAGUAGUCACCCAUGAAUGAGUCAUGAAAUCAAUUUCGCAGAUAACACCAGCAUUUUUUUUUAAAAAUCAAUGAUAGACUAGAACAGAAAAUAUCCGAGGCUUCUCCGGCAGUGUUAUUUUGUGAAAUGCUUGUUCUACUCUGCCUGUCCGUGUCCGUGCCUGUACACAUCACCUCUCAGUGUGAUAAUGUAUUUCUUGCUGAAGGUCAUGAUCAAAAGUUCAACAACAGCACGCAGCACAGAACCAUACGGCUACUGAAAGUGUUUGAAACACACAUCUGACCAAGAAAAAAGAUGUUUUCACAUGUUAAGUGAAAAACUGCAGUUUUUCCAAACCAGGAGGAACUGUGUGCUCACAAUUUGGGCAGUGACUGUCCCGGGUAAGCAGGGCUGUGUGUGUUCGUGGCAUUUUGCCUGUGGCCUGGAGUCACGCGGGAGGGGCCUGGCAGUGUCAGAGGAGCCUGGGCACUCACCCAUGUAGCUGAGGAUGACCGGCAGGAAGACCAGGCCAUGCAGCAGGCCCAGCGCAGUGAUGAGGAGGUUGAGACGGAAGAAGAAGAUCUGGAUGAGCUGCGCCUUGGCCAGGCCCAGGACGAGGAUGCCAGGCAAGUUGGUCAUGGCCACUCCUGCGAACACCUGGGGGUCACAGGUGGGCGUCAGGCUGGGCACAGGACAGCCGGCCGAGGACUACGUGAGGCAGCCCAUCCACUCACCGCGCUGCCCAUGGAGAUGGUGGCCUCCUUGGCCCUCUCAAGCCGCGUGGGCUUGGUGCUGAUGGCAAAGGAGCGGGUGAUGUGGGACACGAACUCCACAGAGAUGCCCACCGCCUGUGGGGAGAGAGGAGGCUUCAGCCACAAAAGGGCGGGGGCAGGGGUCUCCACCCAGACCAGCAGGCAGCACCUAGACUCUAGAAAGAACUGGGGUCGUCCUGUGAGGCCAGCACCCCUCCUGCCCUGGAGCCCCGACCCUUCGGCCAGCAGGUUACCGUCACCAGGUUGAUGAGGGACACAGCAUUGUAGCUGAUAUCCCACAGGGUCAUGAAGCCCACAGUGUCCACCAGGAUCAUGAUGAUGGAGAACAGGUUGAGGAGGCCGGAGCAGACGUCCAUGCCCAGCAGGAAGCAGCAGACGGCGAAGGUGGGCACCAGGCAGAUGGCGAGCAUGAAGAGCCCCUCAGGGAUCACGGUCAGGUACUGCUCAUAGAACACGUUGGUGAUCCUGCGGGUCGCACAACACAGUCACUGCUCCGUGGCUUCCCACGCCCACUUCAGGAUGAGCGCGCAGCUUGGGGAGGGUGUUGGGGGGCCUGGGCCCAGGUGCAGCCCGAGCCUCCCUGCUGGAGCCCAUCCCCACCCAGCAGCCGCCCUCACCAGCCCAGCACCCUCGCCCGGGCCCACCUCCCUGCAUCGCAGUGCCCAGGGACUCACGUGUAAGGGAAGACCUCGAAGUCUGGGUCGGUGCCCGGCACCUUCCGCAGGUCGGCGGUGAUGUUGGCUGCGAGCGCCCGAGCUGCCCGCAGAGCCUCCGUGUAAUCCUGAGAGUUCUUCAGCGGCUUGUGGUAGGCCAUGAACCGCGAGGCUGCAAAGGUCAGAGCCUGUGCCAGGCGCCCUCAGAACCCCCAAGGGAUAGCGCCCGGCUGGGUUCAGGGCUCUGCCGCCACCAUUUGGGAAUUCUUAAUACAUUUUGAGCAAAGGGCCCUGCAUUUUGGUUUGGCCCCAGUCCUGCGAACUCUGCAGCUGGUCCUACUGCUGUGCAAGACUCAAGUCCCAGCCCUGCCUCUGAUGGAUAGAGCUUACAGAGAUCUCCCAGGACUUCCCUGGUGGUGCAGUGGUUAAGAAUCCAUCUGCCAAUGCAGAGGACACGGGUUCGAGCCCUGGUCCGGGAAGAUCCCACAUGCCGCAGAGCAGCUAAGCCCGUGCGCCACAACUACUGAGCCUGCACUCUAGAGCCUGUGAGCCACAACUACUGAGUCCAUACACCACAGCUACUGAAGCCCACAUGCCUAGAGCCUGUGCUCCACAACAAAAGAAGCCACUGCAAUGAGAAGCCCAAGCACCGCAAGGAAGAGUAGCCCCCUCUCACCACAACUAGAGAAAGCCCGUGCACAGCAACGAAGACCCAACGCAGCCAAAAAUAAAAUUAAAUUAAGAAAAAAAGAAAAAGAAGAAGAGAUCUCCCAGAUGAACCCAAACGCUGCUCUGUAUGGUUUCAAAACAUGCAUUGGAUUCUUAAAAUUCAUUUAAUUACUUUUCCAAUGUACAUAUUCCUAUAGGAAAGGACCAGAAAGGGAGACAGGAAAAUGGAAACAGCUGACUUAACAGAGCUGUGCAUCAGGGCACCCACUGGCCUCAGUUUCCCCAAGAUGUAGUGGGCCCUGAGCCCCCAGAGGCCCCAUACUCACUGACAGUCGAGGGGCAGAAAUCAUCUUUAUUGGGGCCAAAGACAUAAAGGCGGCAGCAGGAAGAUGAAGACAGCCAAUCAAGGAAGUCGUCCACCCAGGAGGAGGCAGGGAUGGCCAGGAAUUGUCCACAUGGACAUCGGCGCUUAGGAAGAGGCAGUAAGAAGCCCAGCAAACCCAUGCAGGGCUGCACCUGGGCAUGUAGGGGCAGUUGGGGGUAUGCAGAACUCCUGCCCCCUUACCUGGUACUCGAGAACGAAGAUGAAGAUGUUGUCGGCCCCCACGGCGAGCACCAGGAAGGGCACCACUUGAAGGAUCACCAGUGAGGAGGGGACACCCAGGUAGGAGAAGAAGCCCAUGGAAGCCAUGACUGCGCCCAGCACCACAGCCACCCCGCCCAGGCCCAGCGUGGCCUUGGAGUCCACCUGCAAUGGGAUCAGGCUCAGCCUCCUGGCUGCAGGGCUGCCCGACGUGCCCCCCACCUGAGUUAGAGGAGGGC